AACAAAUAAACAUAUGAAAGGGGGAAGGGAGGAGAAAGUAAUCAAUGAGACCUGUCCUAGUCUAAUUGGGCUUUCAACCUAUUUCACCUAUCCUAAUCUAGUAUUCGAGCCUUUGGCUCGAGUCUUGCUCCACUUAUAUUAAAUUUACAGCUUUGGCUUCGAGACCCAAAAGAAUGAAUAAAGAAAUAAAAGACGACAAUGAAUAUAUAAAUAAAUAAAAAGAUAAAAAGAAACUUUAUAGUCUCUUUGUUGGGACUUUAGCCCAUUCUUCUGCGUUCGACUCUUCAUAACCAUGCGCUAUGUGAUCAGCUUUCAAAGUCUUCUAGAAAGUAGGCCUCGAUGGCCCGUUGCGUAAUGCAAGGGAAAGGAGUCCGAUUGGACUCCCGAGCGAGUUCAUGCAAAGAAAAAGAUGAAUGUAUUAAUGCAUGAUCAACCAAAAAGGAAGGGAAACAAAAGAGAAUAACUUUAAAGGUUCAGAUAAUAUAUGAUAAACUAAUUUCAGUGAAGCACAGGCCAAUUCUCACACAUGACGCAAAUAGCACACGGGUUUAUUACCGAAUCCUAGCUGAAAUUAUAUGGAUAUUCAAAUAACACAGCUUCAAUAAAAGAUAGGCAAAUCGCAGCUAACAGGAGAAUUGAAGGUUCUUAGAAAUUCGUUGACAGACAAACCAGCUAAAGAGGGGUAAAUAAUCAAUGAUGGUAUAAACCUGCCACAAGAUCUACAAAUUCGUAUCGUGGGAUCUAAAACAAAAUAUAAAGAAAAAAAUCAAUGAUAGGAUAACUAAAUCUACUAUAUCAAUGGCACAAAAUCCGUCAUACAUCACUAACGAGACAAAAUCCAUUACUGGAUUUCCACGUAAUUUCAAAAAGGUGACCCAAGAUAAAGGACACAAGUUGAAUACAAAAUGUAUCCUUGAAGAGUCAUCGAAUGAUUUGAACUAAUAUGACAUCUCCCUUAUCCCUUCUUGACAUUAUUUGUCUAUAGGGAUUUUGGGAAUUUUUCCAGUUGACUUCGAAAGAUUCAAAACAAAUACAGGACAAAAUAAAAUCGAGGCGGACAACCCACAAUAUUGAACUAAGGCAACGAAUCAAAACUAAAAUAAACAAUAGUCGGCUAAACGAAUAGCAAAUUGGGCCAAAAUAAUCAAGUACAAAACGAUAUAAUGGAAAAUAAAAAUAAUCAAACGUUACAGUGAUUUUGAAGACAAAAUUGAAAUAAAAUUAUAAGGUUAAAGUAUUGAGGCCAAAACUAAAAUAAUAAACGAUAAAUUAAAGGGAAAUACUGGAUUUCAUCAAAACAAGGUGAUGACUAAAAUGAAAAUCUAAAAUCUUGCGGUGGAAAGCAUCAAAUAAUAUAGAACAAAAAUGAACUACACAAACAGCAAUCAACAGGCAAAGCAUUUAGGUUGAAACAAAUAGUGAAUUAAUCCUACAACCUUUGUUGACUCCUAUUAUAUAUAUUAAUAAACUACCCAACAACACUUAAUACGAAGCAGUGAAUUUAGGGCAAGUGAACCCAAAUAUAAAGCCAGCAGUGAAACACAGAUCAUAACACAGACAAUGAUUCAACAUAACAACCAUCACUGCCUUCUGAGGAUCCUACAACAAGCGAUUCUCAACAAACCACAAAAUGCUCAAACAAAUCCAACAGCUGACGUCUCUACAGCUACUCCCAGCACAGAAUUACAUCGAAAAAGUUAUUUAUAGCUAUAGAAGAUCAAGAUGAAGCAAAAAAGAUCAAAACUUGAACGAAAAAAGAUAUUACCUGUUAGGGAGCGGCAAAACGGGACUACGAGCUGACGUCGGAGUCCACCACCACCAGAAAGAUCGAUGCUGAUACGUGAAUUUUGACUAAACUGACUGCUACUUCCUAAAAUCUUUUCCGAAUAAAAGUUUCUCUUUCCCGAAACCCUUUUUUCUUGACCCAAAAGAAAUUUUUUCCAACCUAGCUUUUUUAGAAAUUUUUUUAACCCAAGAGCCAAAAUCUCCCUUUUCAGCCCAACGAAUGAGCUUUUUAUAGCCACAACAAAUGAGGGUUCUCAAAACCUCUUCCUCCAUGUGGGAACACAACCCUUUUUGGGGUAAUUUCAAAAUUUUCUCAAGGGGUAUUCAAAUUUCAAAACUCAAAACCAAAAUUCUCCCCAACAGAUCCUCCCAAAUGAACUAUUUUGAACAAAUCAAAAACCAAAAUCAGCCAAUGAGAAUUGGGGCUAAGAAAAAAUUCUCCAAGAACCAAUCAAAAUUCAACAGGUAUGUACGAACUCAUUCAAAAUACUCUGAGAUUUGCAGAAUUGAACGUUGGACGGACCAACUAAGCAGUCUUCUCGAAGCUUCUCGCCUUUUUUUUGCAUAAAUCCAUAUGGGAGGGUGCGUGACACAUGUAAGAGAUGGGUUGAGAUCGGGUCGGAUUCGUUGAAGUUGGAGAUGGGUCGGGUUUGAUUUUUUAACGUGGUGUCGUUGCUGAAUUAGGAUUUUGCCGUUGCUGGAACUAUUGUUGUUGCGUCGUGUUUGGAUGGUUGUUUUCGAACUGUUGCUAGUUAUCUAUUGUCGAUGUUGGGUUAAGGGAAGAGAAAACAGAAGUUGGACUGAGUCGGGUCGUGGAUAAGUAGGCUGGGGCGGUGAUAGGCUUUAGGGAUUGGUGUUGUUUAUUAUGAGUAAGGGAGAAAGGAUGCUAAAAUUGUUAUUAUUUUUGGGCUGAUUUGGCUAUUUUAAUGGAUUUGGCUAAUGUAUUUAAGUUUUCUCCAAUUGCUUCGCAAUUGUGGCCAAUUCGAUUUCAAAUAUGACCAAAUCUAAUAGAUUGGCUAAAUUGAAUUAAAAUUCAAAAUGAAUUAAUAUCUCAUUUAAUCUUUGAGUUUCUCAAUUUAAUAAAAUCAAAAAAAUAUAUAUCCGAA
rnacentral:lncRNA from 1 species